CUUGUGAGUUGAGAAGAAGAAGCAUAGAACAAAAAGUAAUUGUAAACAAUAACAUAAACCCUUUUGUUAAUUCGUGAAAUAGACUUACAAGUAAUUUAUUAGUUUAUAGUAAAAAAUGUUCAUGAAAUUAAUACAAUAAUGUUGGGUGAAAUAUUAGGGGUAUUUCAUCUAAUGGUUGGUUAGUUUAGCAGACUCUAUGCCCAAUAUGUCGGUCAGUGUGUAAAUUAUCUUCACAAAAUUGCGUGAAAGCAUCUCUAGGAUACUUGGGUAACGCCACACGUUAAUGCAAUCGCUCAACUUGACCGUAUUGACUGUUAGUUUUACACUGCACUUUAUCUAUGUACAUAUAUAAACUAUAAGCGUUGCAAAACUCAUGACGUCUUUGAUGCACCCUCAAUUACUAAUGAAGAAGUUUGAUGAACACGUCAUCCAGCUCAUCGAUUACAUUUAAACCUGAAAUACAGCGUUUUCAAGAUAUAUACUUACAUGGAAAAAUACAUGCAAGUAUGUUUGUACCCAUGUGCAAACUAAACACCAUAAUAAAUAUUUGAAAAGAGACGCAUCGUACUUCCUAGUGAUUGCAGUUUUGUGAAUAAAUUUUCGAACGAAGUUCAAAUCGAGCUUACUAGACUAGUAGUUUUAAGAAGUUCAUCCUCUUGAAAUAUAUGAUGAAUAAUAAUUCUGUUUUUACUACCCACAAAAGGUAUUUACACAAUUAUGUUUAUAUCAAGUAUUACGUCAUAAAUAUAUGCGUCAACGGUUACGUACAUUUAUUGCACAUAAUAAAAAAAUCAUAUGACGUCUCAAUUCGGUGCAUGCGCAAAGUAAGCGAGAAGUUUUCAAUGAUGCCUUUUGACAAAUUACAUAUUGUGUAUGUUUAAAUAAAUGUUUAUCUGUUUUUGAUACAAAAUGUAACUGUGUUGGUGAACACAAAUAA